UAUAAGCUUUGUCCAGAAUAUGUGGACAGCGACCAAUGGCGUGAACUUGUCAACUAUUGGAAAUCCAAAGAAGGAAGGGCAGUUAGUGAGAAGAACAAAAUUAGCCGAGCAUCUGUGAAAACAUCUCAUACAGCUGGUACAAAGAGUUAUGCUCGUUGGGCUGAGGACCUUCGACAAGAAGAUCCUGAAAAGAAACAACCACAUAGAGCGAAGGUUUAUUUAGCGACUCAUAGAAAAAAAGAUGAAGAAAGAAAUAAACAUGUGGCUGACUUGGCUGACUUGGAAAAGCUAAUACAUAAUGAACC